rnacentral:rRNA from 1 species
GAUGAACGCUGGCGGCGUGCCUAAUACAUGCAAGUCGAGCGAACAGACGAGGAGCUUGCUCCUUUGACGUUAGCGGCGGACGGGUGAGUAACACGUGGGUAACCUACCUAUAAGACUGGGAUAACUUCGGGAAACCGGAGCUAAUACCGGAUAAUAUUUCGAACCGCAUGGUUCGAUAGUGAAAGAUGGCUUUGCUAUCACUUAUAGAUGGACCUGCGCCAUAUUAGCUAGUUGGUAAGGUAACGGCUUACCAAGGCAACGAUACGUAGCCGACCUGAGAGGGUGAUCGGCCACACUGGAACUGAGACACGGUCCAGACUCCUACGGGAGGCAGCAGUAGGGAAUCUUCCGCAAUGGGCGAAAGCCUGACGAAGCAACGCCGCGUGAGUGAUGAAGGUCUUCGGAUCGUAAAACUCUGUUAUUAGGGAAGAACAAACGUGUAAGUAACUGUGCACGUCUUGACGGUACCUAAUCAGAAAGCCACGGCUAACUACGUG